UCGAGAAUAUUCCACAAUGGACGCAAGUCUGAUGGAGCGACGCCGCGUGCAGGAUGACGGCCUUCGGGUUGUAAACUGCGGUAGCUAGGGAAGAACUUUCGUGACGGUACCUAGCGGAAAGAGGCGGGUAACUACGUGCCAGCACCAGCGGUAAUACGUAGGCCUCGAGCGUUAUCCGGAUUUAUUGGGCGUAAAGAGCAUGUAGGAGGCUCUGCAAGUCUUUGGUUAAAGACCACUGCCUAACGGUGGGAGUGCCGAGGAAACUGCAGAGCUGGAGGAGGUUAGAGGUGCAUAGAACGCAUGGUGUAGGGGUGAAAUCCGUUGAUAUCAUGCGGAAUACCAAAGGCGAAGGCAGUGCACUGGGACCUUCCUGACUCUGAGAUGCGAAAGCGUGGGGAGC
rnacentral:rRNA from 1 species